CGGCUAGGCGUUCAGCAGAGGCGCAGCAGCCGCAAAGCCAGCCAAUUAUUGCCGGUCUUCCCCUCCAACCCCGCGCUCACGACCUACACACUCCUUGCUGGGUCGGUCUCCACUUCCCCCCCUAGCCGCGAUCCCCCCCUGCGCGGACGGAGCCGAGGGGGCGGGGGGGGGGGGGGUCCCUCCCCGGGAGCGUUUCUAGAGCUCGGAGGCAGCUCGCAGGGGUUUGACAGUCCACAUGUUCAAGUCUAACAGAAGAAAACAAAAAUCAGUGGAUAUGAAGUUAUGAGACAGACUCAAGUCUACAUCUACAUCCUCAGGGCACCACUUUCAGAUAAAAACAUAGACCUGAAUGGCAUCAUCCAGUAUCCAAGGAAACCAUGAACCGUUUUCAAGACCUGCAGCGCAACAAGGGAAAAAUUGAACGCCUCUUGCCGUUUUUCAAGGUCUCUAAGUCCACGAUGACAGGAAAAUCUUCAGUGGUUCCAGAGACAAGCAGCUGGAAAUCCUGAAUGUUUAUUUCCUAGAAGGAAGUGAGCUGUUGAGGAGAGUGAUCCCUUCAGAGAGAUCCUGUCUUUUAAAAAUGGACUCCAAAUUAAACCAUAUCCAUUUCUGGGAUCUUGAAGUGGCUCACAAAAGCCGAUGUCACUUGCUUAAUGUUAAGUGAUUUCAAAAGCCUUAAUCAGGGGAGAGUAAAGGUGGGGAGGAAGAUGGUGAAUAAAUUGUGAGCACCUACCAAGUAA